rnacentral:rRNA from 1 species
GAUGAACGCUGGCGGCGUGCCUAAUACAUGCAAGUCGAGCGAAUGGAUUAAGAGCUUGCUCUUAUGAAGUUAGCGGCGGACGGGUGAGUAACACGUGGGUAACCUGCCCAUAAGACUGGGAUAACUCCGGGAAACCGGGGCUAAUACCGGAUAACAUUUUGAACCGCAUGGUUCGAAAUUGAAAGGCGGCUUCGGCUGUCACUUAUGGAUGGACCCGCGUCGCAUUAGCUAGUUGGUGAGGUAACGGCUCACCAAGGCAACGAUGCGUAGCUGACCUGAGAGGGUGGUCGGCAACACUGGGACUGAGACACGGCCCAGACUCCUACGGGAGGCAGCAGUAGGGAAUCUUCCGCAAUGGACGAAAGUCUGACGGAGCAACGCCGCGUGAGUGAUGAAGGCUUUCGGGUCGUAAAACUCUGUUGUUAGGGAAGAACAAGUGCUAGUUGAAUAAGCUGGCACCUUGACGGUACCUAACCAGAAAGCCACGGCUAACUACGUGCCAGCCGCCGCGGUAA